GCGGGCAUAGCUCAGUUGGUUAGAGCGCCUGACUGUGGAUCAGGAGGUCACGGGUUCAAACCCCGUUGCCCGCC
rnacentral:tRNA from 1 species